UCCCGACCUUUCUCCCCUCUCUGCAUCGAACACCUCCCUUCUUCCUCUCGUUCUCUCCCUCACGGUUUCCCCUCGCGCCGAUCGCCACGAGCUCAUCGCCGACAUCAAUCUUCCUCUUCUGAGCUCCGUCGGACUCAAGCAUCGGUCGUUCCCCUCGCGUCGCCCUCAGUCGCCACUACUGACAUCAGACGCCAGCCAACGAGCGCCACCCGAUCCUCUCUUGUGUGGACGACCUGACGCCGACGAUCGCCAAGGUUCUACUCACCAACAUCGAUGAUCUAUGCCCUGUCGGUGAGUGGAUGCUCUUGAUUGAACCUUCUUUCUCACUGUGGUCGCGUUCUUGUUGCGAUCCGUGCCCUAGCUGUGAUCUUGAAGGUCUCUUCCUUCGGCUCUGAUCAAUCGUCACCGCAUGAAGCUGUGCCCUAGCGGCGAUCUUUGAGGUAGGCGAUUUAUUUAGCUGUGGAUUUGAAUACUUAAUCUCUAUUCUUGUUUUGAUCAGUGAUCUUCCUGCUUGAUCUCAUCUUGAUCCGUUGAGUGGGAAGGGUUCCAGCAGGGAGGGUAUGCUCUGUGGUUUCUUUGAUCCAACAACUCAUCUUGUUGCUAGCAGCAACAAUUCCUGCUGUGGAUCAACAAUCACGACUGUGAGGUGAAGUAGUGCUCUGUGGUGUUCUUUGCCUAGCAACAACAGUACCUUGUGUGGGUCAACAGAAGGGGGCUGAGCUUGAGGAUUCUGAUUCGAGACGAGCGUUUCGACGUCGAAUUUAGCUUGAUUGGAUCUUCUAUUUGAGGCGAGUACCCUUUGACUUAUCUUUUGAUAGUGUCUUAUGAUAUGUGCAGUAUAAAUAUAACUAGUGGUAAUUAUUAUGUUUAUAAUUCCCUUUGGUAGGAUGUUACUUAUUACCUGUAGCAUGCUUUUAUUAUUACUUAUCAUGCGUUAGUCUUUUAGCUUCUUACUUCUUGUUAUGUGUACUUAUGCUCAUAGAGUUGAUGAUAUAUAUAUAGUGCUCCUGUAUACUGGAUUAGUUGUUAGACAUAUUGGAUAUGUGAUAUUGGAUUCAUGUUUCUUA